rnacentral:rRNA from 2 species
UAGGAUGGCUUAGCCAGGAAGUCUGCAUCUACAUG